rnacentral:ncRNA from 1 species
UUCGGGCUCGCGACGUUUUUUCCGUCGCCUUCUGCAUGCCGUCCCGGACGCACUUCCUACUCGAACUUUCUAGCGCUCCUGUCGCCCCUUGCGACACGGC